UCACACGGGACUGCCGGUCUUAAGCCGGAGGAAGUGGGGAUGAUGUCAAGUCAGCACGGCCUUUAUAUCCUGGGCUACACACACGCUACAAUGGCCAACACAAUAGGUUGCUAAGCCGCGAGGUGGCGCCAAUCCAUAAAGUUGGUCUCAGUUCAGAUUGUAGGCUGCAACCCGCCUGCAUGAAGAUGGAGUUGCUAGUAACCGCAGGUCAGCUAUACUGCGGUGAAUACGUUCCCGGGGCUU
rnacentral:rRNA from 1 species